CGUGAAAUCCUGUCUGAAGAUGGGGGGACCAUCCUCCAAUGCUAAAUACUCGUGAUCGACCGAUAGUGAACCAGUACCGUGAGGGAAAGGCGAAAAGAACCCCGGGAGGGGAGUGAAAUAGAUCCUGAAAGCGCAUGCAUACAAACAGUCGGAGCCUCGUAAAGGGUGACGGCGUACCUUUUGUAUAAUGGGUCAGCGACUUACGUUCAGUAGCAAGCUUAACCGUAUAGGGCAGGCGUAGCGAAAGCGAGUCCUAAUAGGGCGUUCAGUUGCUGGGCGUAGACCCGAAACCAGGUGAUCUAUCCAUGGCCAGGAUGAAGGUGCGGUAACACGUACUGGAGGUCCGAACCCACUAACGUUGAAAAGUUAGCGGAUGAGCUGUGGAUAGGGGUGAAAGGCUAAACAAACCUGGAAAUAGCUGGUUCUCUCCGAAAACUAUUUAGGUAGUGCCUCGUGUCUCACCUUCGGGGGUAGAGCACUGUCAUGGUUGGGGGGUCUAUUG
rnacentral:rRNA from 1 species